UUUGUAUUACGUGUGGAAAUUGUUACCAUUUUCGGCUCAAAAAUGGUAACAAUUUCCGCACGUAAUACAAA
rnacentral:miRNA from 1 species